CGAUUAAACGGCCUGGUCUCGAGGCUAACUCUGCUUGCGCGCAACUGAUAGUAAAAUGGCUGAUGCUGGAGUAGUUGAUAUUAACUCCCUCUCCAUAGCUGAGCUGACACUCUAUACAGCCCAAGUUGCUUGUCCAAGAAGUUAAACUGUGUGGACAGUCAUUUAAAUAAAAGGGGUGUGGCCAUUUGAACUUUUAUCGUCGAAAAUAAAUCCGUGAAAUGUUUACCGUAUUCACCCGAAUUACCGGGACACUCUAUUCUAAGGGACACUUCGGACUUACGUAAUUUUUUUCACUCUAUAUUAAGGAGCAACAGGAAAUGUAAAUAUUUUUAGACGUCCCGAUCUAAUUAUAACGAAAAAGAGCGUGUUAGCUCGAUAGAGACUCAAAACUCUUAGAACUCUCUGGAUUCUACUCUCUGGCAACGUAAUAUGUCACUGACGGUUGAAGACACCACUUUGUAGACAUGGAACCCGCGUACACAGCUUCUAAACUGCACGAAAGACAUUUUAGUGCAGAGCUAGCCUCGGCCUGGAAUCGAGGCCGUGUACGUACCUUAAAUGGGGAAAUAUUACUACGGGACACCCUAAUACAAGGGACACUUCGACUUUAACGUAAUUUUUCUUGCUCUAUUCCAAGGGACACUGCAAGCCGUAAUUAUUUUUUGUGUCCCGGUAAUUCGGGUGAAUACGGUAGUUAAAGCAUAGAUACUGUACACUCCGUGGAUGUGAAACACUUCCGCCCACUACCAAAAGUCCUGAAACACUCAUUGCAACGGAUGACACGGACGGAGUAUCCGGAAUUCCGUAUAGUAUACGGAAUCUACUGCAUACAAUAAUAAUCAAUAAUAAUCUAACUACGUGUGAGUGAUAGGAUAACUGAAGCUCCCAGUCCAAGUUCUUCCAGUGCUAACUGAUUCUCUGCGCAGGGAGAGAUGUUCAUGAAUGAAAGUGGAAAUGCAGAAAUCAUAUUGGAACCUGACAAAUUUAGAUCUAGCUACAUGUACACUGCUGACUUAAUUUUUGUGAUAUUGUAUAUAGCACAGCAUGUAUGCACACAGAAUAUUAUAUAGGCAGGCAUCCAUGCAUGGAGAUAGACUUAGUAGUAGACAACUAAAUGGAAAACUAAAACUGAUUUAAAGUUGAAGGAGGAUUCUUCUUCGUCUUAUCGCUAUACUUGUGCUUGUACACUUGUUUGUUAGUCUUGCAUUGCAUCAGGGAAUAAUUAUGCUCCUUUCCGCUUCCUUUGGUGAUAGAGCAUUACCUAAAUUAAAAAAGUAUGUUAGAAUGCACAUAAUAAUUUACUCCGGCCGCUGUACGUACGAUCAUGUAUGCAUUAUCAUCAUACAGUACAUUUGUAUGAGUAAACAUGUUCACCACAAAAAGACACGCUUUCCUGAAAUAACAAAACAUUUACUGAGGGUCAAAAUAGAUUCUCCUGGUAUAAGGACAUCUAUAUUAUUGAAUGACCACAUCAUUUAAGUGAUGGAGCUUUUUGUUGGCAAGAUCGCCUAACCACAAGAUAGGUACUGUUGAACACCUAAUUUUGACCUAUCAUUCAGUUUGCUGCUAGCCUUAUACAUUUUCUUAAGUGCUGAACACAUUCUCCCAGUACUUCACUUCAUUGACUAACAGGAAAGCAAAGCGAAAUGUUCCAACCAUAAACCCAACCAAAGAUCGCCUAACCACAAACUUGUCACCUAGUAAGUUACAGACAAAAAUGAGCUCCAAAAGGCUAUCCACUAAUAAUGCAGGCUCAAUAUCCAUGCUCUAUGAUAGACUUACCUCCCACCUACAAGUACAGGAGACCUUCUCCUCCACUGAAGCCACAAGUGGGCAGCUGUGCAAGAAAAACAACACUAAAAGUGUCCAUUUCUGCAGCUGGGUGCCGUUGCAACUACAGAGCUCAGACGAAAAACACUCUUUCUGUUGUCUAUGGAGACAGGAGCUCUAGUGAGACUCGACCUUGACAUGUUAUCCAAGAUUCCGCUGACCUAAGCCUGGAGGCGGGCGCUCUGAUUGGUGGACUGAGACAUGCUCACAUGCAUGGCAACCAACACAGCUCUGCUGGGUCGCCUGGAUGACGGAAUUAUUCAAGUCGCUUUCUGCUUAAAAGCCACACCUGCCAAUCACAGAUCUGUUCAGCUUUGCCGUAUUCUUCGUGCGGCUAAGCCUUGAGGCAUAAUAAGAGCAGCAUACAUUAGUAUGUGUAGUUGUAGCAUACCAUGUACUUCGAAGCACAUCAUAUUAUUUGUUGUACAGUUUAACAUGAAUUAAACAACAACUUCGUAGUCUAUGACAGUUUCAUGCAUAUUGUCUGGAACAGUUCCCACAAUUAAUGCGAUCCGGCAUUCGGCUGAGUGGCAGGGUUGGUUCCUUCAUAUGAUAGAUUCGGCUGAGUGGCAGGGUUGAGUUCUUCAUGUGAUGGGGAUCCUUCAUGUGAUAGAUGCACCACCUGCAUUUUCCGUAGCUCAAUCUCUAGUUUCCACACUCGCUUCUUGUGGUACAAAUAAGCAAUGCAGAUGACAACACUUAUAACAGCGAUUGCAGCAUUCACUACAGCCACAACAGACACAGUUAGCCCCACUACUAGUUUAGAGUUUGCUGGGGCAGUUAAUACAGUAGUUGUAGUUAAUACAGUAGUUGUAGUUGCAGUCUGUCUGGUAGCUUGAACAAGUGCAUCUCCUCUGGCCAGAAUUAACACCUCUUCCACAGGGAUCUGAUCCGUUAUAUCUGUCUCUGAUGUCACAAACACUGUGUACUCAAUGUCUGGGAAUAGACCUGUGCACACACAGUGUAUGGGGGGUGGGGGUGCAUAUGAUUAUUAUGCAUGCUUUAGAGUAUAUAUAGGGUUAGAUAAUUAUUAUUAUUGAGCAUCCCAACUCCCAAGUGCAUAAUGUGCAUGACUAUAGUACGUAGCUGCUUACCUCCAAUCACUCCUAUGGUGGAGGUGACAGUAUUAGAUAGUCUGAUAUCAUUCUCCUCAGCCGCCCUGAUCCAGAGGUUGUAUCGUAGCUCAUCUCUCCCCCUACCUCCAGUGGAUACUGGCUCCUCCCAGGCUAGUGUUAGUGUGGUACUGGAUGUACUCACCACUCUUACAUUGAGUGGAGGGGACGGGGGAACUGCAUGGGUGUGUGUUAUAUUGACAUUAUGAAUACUAGGGAAAUGGUUGAAAUUCUUCUCAAUAUUCCCAAUAACUAUGCUGUUGUAAACGACACAACAAUAUAGAUCUAUAUCAAAAUGGUUUAGAAAAACUAAUGCUGUGUAUAUCAAUAUACUUAUCUCUGUAAUCUAUUCCCAAUUCAAGAAGCUGUAUAAUCAUAUGCAUGUAUGCGAUAAAUUAUAGUAUAAAGCAAUCAUAUAAUGGGUCAUUUAUUCAGUCCUGAUUGUUGUUCAGAUCACUAACGAUUAUAGUUUACCCAAAUAUCAUUAUCAUCCAACUCACGGGUGCAGGGAAGGUCCACCUCUUGUGGUUUUCUGUAGUAGCCAUCAUCACAUGGACACUCUGCUAGGCCUGAGGCUGUACUGUUGCUGUUGCUAGGGCAUGUUAGGCACUCCCCAUUAGCCACACUGGCAUAGAACCCAGGGUCACAGGCUGUGAGUGUGUGUAAGGAGGGGGUAUUAAUAUAACAGUAUAUACAAUUGCCAGUGAGCCCAAACUGAAAACAUGUGAUGAUACUUACACAAACAAGUUCCUCCGUUCAUGGUGGGAACAAACCCAGUGUUGCACUCACACCUACUGGAGGCUGCAGCAACCCAGUUACCACUCUCCAAACAAAUGAGUGACACUACUGUGCUGGAGUUCUGGACACAGGAUGCAUUAACGUUGAGCUGUAUGCCAGACCCCACUGUUGGAGCUAUUGUCUCAGGACGCACCACCAAGUUGACUGUUUCACCAGGACAGACAUUAUAGAAGACAAUCAGUCGAGAGAUGGCAAUACAAGUGCCAGGAUCUCUAAUAGCGAGGUAGAAUCCAGACUCAUCGGUGUUGAAUCCAAAGUUUUCAGUAUUUUUUGUGGUAGUUCCAAAGACCUGAGUUGUCAAGGUUCGUAUAAGUGCAUAAUUAUCAGUUUCCCUGGCAACUACAGGAUUUAUUACAGAGGUCUCGUACUUCAGUAUGUCAAACGUUCUCCUGCAUCUUGUACUGCUUUCAUCAGGGCAAAUGCUCUGCUGGUAUUCAAUCUGUACAGAGACUUGCUGUAGGAAAUAUUCAUCUACUGUUCUAUUAAUGUGCUGAGUGAAAAGCCAGUUGUUCUGAUCUCCACCUGACCAACCACAAACAGUGACGACAGACAUACAGUUAGAUCCUUGUUCUACCCACUGAAGAAAGGAAGAGAUGAGAUCAGUGCAAUUUGACACUGCUUAGGAUAAUUAGCUAGAAUUACUUACUGAUGAUUGGGUCCCAAUGGGAUUGUUACCAUCAAGGUCCACUGCCUGCCACACUGGAUUAGAGUUUGGUGGGAGCAAUCGGUUGUAGUGACUGGAGUCCAUUAGAAUCCUUCCAUUAGGAGGGUCCUCCACAAUGUUCACUCCAAGGGCAGGUAGAGAUACUGAACACAGUUCUUGUUCAUCUCCUGGAGCCUGUCCAGCCACCAUUCUCAGCACACCCACCAUCAGCAGCAGGAUGGCUAUAGCUAUCAUCUUCAUUGUGCAUAUAUAAUUAUGGCUGCAGCUAAUAGUAUGCUGUCUACAUGUAGAUAUUAUAAUAUUGGACUGAGUUGAGCCCCACCCCCCUCAUUUUUAUAUAACUUGUAACAUCACACAGCCACCACAAGCAAUCAUGAGUGUCCAUUAUUUAUUGUGCUAGAUACAUGUAUAGUAUAUAGAGGCUAUAGUGUCCCUAUACCCAGUGACAGUGUUGACCCCACAGAGAGUGCAUGCUUGACAGAGGAGUGUGUGUUGUAGUCACGUCACCAUGCAGACACUACACUAUAGUCACCUUCAUUCACUAUUAUUAAAAGUGAAUGGAGAGAGCAUGAAUAAUUUAUAAUUAUUUAUAGUAGCUAUAUAAUUAUGGGAGAGAGCAUGCACAUGCGUAAUUCAUAUGAGAAGGUAUCAUCAAUAUAAUUAUUAACAGCUUCAUAUAAUUAUAGCUUCAUUCUAUUAAUAUGCGAUACAUGCACUCACACUCUACAAAUACACUGUGUUCUGUUUGUAGCCAUCAUAACUUGGACUUGAUUACCUGCUAAAAUAGGAAAGUGCUAAAAUCUCACGUGUAGUAGUGUGUGGCUCGUUGCAUGAAUUGUUUUGUCCUUCACAAAUUAAUGUUAGUUCUUGCAAAGAAUAUAUAAUUAAUGGCAUGCACUUAAUAAUUAUGUGUUUGCAUGAUUUUUUAACCUAGUGUCUUGGUUUGAUCACAUCUCUUGGAUCGAUUUAGUGUAGUCGUGGUUUUAUAAUGAAGGAAUGUAAUUAUGUAUACAAUAAUGGCAUGCACUUAUGUGUUUGCAUGAUUUUUUAACCUAGUGUUUUGGCAUCUCUCUUGGAUCGAUUAGUGUAGUCGUGGUUUCGUAAUGAAGGAAUGUGUUUGCCAAAUAUAAUAGAUACAACGCACGCACAGGUUUGAGCUGCUCAUACGUGUAUAAGUAUUAUUGCUGAGUAUGCAUACUUGCGGGAGUAGGUAGGUCAUGGUGCUUGUAUAUAUAUACGCUGAGUCGUAAUUCUCUCCUGGAUGACGGAAUUAUUCAUGCACUUAAAAGCCACACCUGGAAUCUCAGUGGCAUAAUUAUAAAUUUACUUCUAUUGAGCUUUCACGUUAUUGCGUGUCCUGAUUAUGCCUCGAGGCGUAGCCGCACAAGGGAUACGGUAAAGCUGACUGUGUGUGUGUGUGUAUUCCAGCAGCAACUGCUCAAAGGUUGCAAUGCGACGAAAACUAACAGCUUCUAUAGGCUUCUAGCCACGUUCUCUUGGAUUUUGAUUCGUGGAUUAGCAAACUAAAGCUUCUUUCUCGAGUUAUGGCUAGUUUGACUCACAUCGAAGGCUGUUGCAGUCUCUUCAGAAUCUUUCAUAGCAUCAUCUGUCCGCACAAACUUUCUAUUCAACAUAUGAGUUAGCCUUGCACUAAAGCGCUAGCUUUUUGUUAGCUACAAUACUCAGAAAAUAUCUGUUAAAACAGCUAGCAAGCAGUUGCCAUUAAUUUUGUGAAAUUGAUCUCUUUGGACACACCCUUUAAUUAUUCCUGUGGAUGUAAUGCGCAUGCGCGCUCAUUCCCCAUGUGUGAGAAAUAAUAUCCAAGAUCCAGAUCCAGAUCCUCCUGGCAGAAUCAUCUUUGUCUUGAGCGCCUAGUCUUUUCUUCUUAGAUAUUUAUAUACACUGAACUCUUGGAAGAAUCAAUUUUCUUCUUUCUUGAGGGCCUGUCCCAUUCACGCUCCAUGAAGAAGUCAAAGUGCUUGUGGGUGUAGAGGUUGUGAUUUCAGUGGUUUUCGAGGAUGCUAUGCUCCACGACGAACUUUCAGAGGUGGAUUCAGAGUUUACAUGGGUCCACGACUACCUUACAUUGGGCUGUUAUAUGAACUCCAAAACUGUCAUGUGAAUAUUUUGAUAUCACUUUGUUUUGUAUUUGUUUAUUGUCACUUAUG